UGUGGUGUAUUUCAAUGGUAAAAAGACCGUCUGAUGAGCGGUUAAUAUCAGUUCAAUUCUGUUCACCACAACUA
rnacentral:tRNA from 1 species